rnacentral:misc_RNA from 1 species
UCGAGAGGACCAUCUUCCAGGCAAAAAUGCCCAACAUUCUUCACAAACCGAGUCCCAGUAGGGUCGUCAAUGAAGCACCAGCUGCAUAAAUGUGGAUUGAUGAUUAGGAGUUUAACCUAACAAACUUUGUAUAAGAAAAGGUUUAAUUUGCAUAUUAAGGUAGUUUAUAAUUCGCGAAAAGCUCACCUUUUUUUAGUAUCAGGAUCUGUAAUAUGCCUAACGUAGUCCAUCGUUUCUCUAUCGGGCCAAUCUUUUAUGGUCGAGAAACCUGG